rnacentral:tRNA from 1 species
CUGACCUUAGCUCAGUUGGUAAAGUGGUGGACUGUGGUUGGACUAAUCUAAAUUGGAAAUCCUUAGGUCGCUGGUUUGAUUCCGGCAGGUUGGA